rnacentral:rRNA from 1 species
UAAAAUUCUACCCUUAUCGGUGGAUCACUAGGCUCGUGGAUCGAUGAAGAACGCAGCAAACUGCGAUAAUUAUUGCGAACUGCAGAAGUAUUGAGCACAAAAGUUUUGGACGCAAAUGGCCGCAUUGAGGUCAAACUCUUUGCAACGUCUGGUUCAGGGUCGUUU